GGAUGUGAGGGAAAUCUGGUUGUGACAUCUGUCAUCCUAUUGAUCACCAAGGUUGAUUCAGUUGAUCUGGCUGGCUAGGCAGGUGUCUCCUUCCUCCUCCACUACUCCAUGUGUGUCCCUCCAAAGCUAUGUACCCAAGAGGAUGACCAUUUUUCAAUUAAGGGUGCAUGAGUAGCUGUGCUCCUCUGCUAGGACCUCCAAACCAACUUUCAAGGUCCAUUUGUAGGAAAAUGUAGGGUAGUCAGGCUUCAAAGACUCCAGACACAACCAAAUAAGCUGCAUGUGGCAGUCUGCCUUUCUUU
ensembl:misc_RNA 7SK 7SK RNA